UCUUCCAAAAGUGGGGGUUUCCCCAAAUAGACUUGUUUGCUUUGAAUCAGAACAAAAAGUGUCUGUUUUGUUAUUGAGCAGGAAAUAGUCUGGGAUUCAUAGCAGACACUUUCACGAUUUGCUGGUCACACCAUUUGACGUCUGCCUUCUGUAUUUUUCUUUUAAUUCCAAGGGUGAUCAGGAAGAUAAGGGGGUCGUCAGGAGACGGAGGUGACGGCUUGAUGUCAAUCCAGGAGACGGAAGUGACUGAGAGCGAGUUGUAGACGAAGUGGUUGGCUCUGGUUCAGCUCGAGAAGUUGAUUGCGUAGGUUUAUCUGCUGCUGGUUGUUUGUUUUUCCUUGAAAAACAUGGUGAUUGGCAACUGUCACUGUUGUCUCUUGAGCUGCUCAAACAUUUCUUGAUUGGUCUCAAAUCAUCCGUAAUACUACGUGUGAUUUUUGAGACUUCAAUCCAUAGAUGGAUCAUAUUCAGAAAUUAAAUCAUUCAAGUAUUUCGCUGCUUGGAACACUUCAGCAAAUUUAGGAAGAUUCCAACUUGCUGGCUCUUCUUGUUCGUCAUCAUCAUCUUCAUCUUCUGUAGACGAUUUUAUCAGUUCCUCUACGUCUUCGUUAGUCAGUGUUUCUCUGUGGCUCUCAAUUAAUUCUUCAAUUUCUUCCUCAAGGAUGUCAAUGAAGCCAUCACCAGCCACUUGCCUGGCUACCUGAACAAUGCAUUUCACUUCUUUGUCAAUGGUCAGGAAACUCUUAAAAUCAUUCACACAUUCUUUCCAUAGAUUUCGCCAACAUGCAUUGACUGUUUCAGGCUUGAUUGCAUCCAUUGCCUGUUUAAUAUAAGUGACGCAAUUAGCAAUGUUGAAAGACUUCCAACACUCCAUCACAUUUAAGAUUGGGAUCAGCAUCCAUAGUACUAUGUAUCCGUGAGAACGCAAGCCUCCUGUACAUGGCCUUGAAACAGCGAAUCACGCCUUGGUCGAGAGGUUGGAGGUGGUAUUUGUGGAAGGAGGCGGAUCAUGAGGACUUGAGAACAAGCAUGACCCCUACUGGACACUACUAAUGAAAAUGUUCCAAGCUAUUGCACUGGGGCCACCACACAUCAUGACUGGGAUCCACAUGUGCAGAUAUUUCAAAG